rnacentral:rRNA from 1 species
CGUGCCUAACACAUGCAAGUCGAACGAAGCAUACGGACUGGAGAUUCGUCGAAGGAUCGUAUGACUUAGUGGCGGACGGGUGAGUAAUGUAUGAGCAACCUGCCUUCAGAGGGGGACAACAGUUGGAAACGACUGCUAAUACCGCGUAACGUAUCGUGAGGGCAUCCUCGUGAUACCAAAGGAGCAAUCCGCUGAAAGAUGGGCUCAUAUCUGAUUAGCUUGUUGGCGGGGUAACGGCCCACCAAGGCGACGAUCAGUAGCCGGACUGAGAGGUUGAACGGCCACAUUGGGACUGAGAUACGGCCCAGACUCCUACGGGAGGCAGCAGUGGGGAAUAUUGGGCAAUGGGCGAAAGCCUGAACCCCAGCAACGCCGCGUGAAGGAAGAAGGUCUUCGGAUUGUAAACUUCUUUUAUGAGGGACGAAGGACGUGACGGUACCUCAUGAAUAAGCCACGGCUAACUACGUGCCAGCAGCAGC